AGUGAACGCUGGCGGUAGGCCUAACACAUGCAAGUCGAACGGCAGCACAGGAGAGCUUGCUCUCUGGGUGGCGAGUGGCGGACGGGUGAGGAAUACAUCGGAAUCUACUCUGUCGUGGGGGAUAACGUAGGGAAACUUACGCUAAUACCGCAUACGACCUACGGGUGAAAGCAGGGGACCUUCGGGCCUUGCGCGAUUGAAUGAGCCGAUGUCGGAUUAGCUAGUUGGCGGGGUAAAGGCCCACCAAGGCGACGAUCCGUAGCUGGUCGGAGGGGAUGAUCAGCCACAGUGGAACUGAGACACGGUCCAGACGCCUACGGGAGGCAGCAGUGGGGAAUAUUGGACAAUGGGCGCAAGCCUGAUCCAGCCAUACCGCGUGGGUGAAGAAGGCCUUCGGGUUGUAAAGCCCUUUUGUUGGGAAAGAAAUCCAGCUGGCUAAUACCCGGUUGGGAUGACGGUACCCAAAGAAUAAGCACCGGCUAACUUCGUGCCAGCCGCCGCCGUAA
rnacentral:rRNA from 1 species